rnacentral:tRNA from 1 species
UUUUAUAUAGUUUAUUAAAACAUUAUAUUUUCACUAUAAAAAUAAUUAGAAUCUAAUUUAUAAAAA